rnacentral:rRNA from 1 species
CGGUAGCACAGAGAGCUUGCUCUCGGGUGACGAGUGGCGGACGGGUGAGUAAUGUCUGGGAAACUGCCUGAUGGAGGGGGAUAACUACUGGAAACGGUAGCUAAUACCGCAUAACGUCGCAAGACCAAAGAGGGGGACCUUCGGGCCUCUUGCCAUCAGAUGUGCCCAGAUGGGAUUAGCUAGUAGGUGGGGUAACGGCUCACCUAGGCGACGAUCCCUAGCUGGUCUGAGAGGAUGACCAGCCACACUGGAACUGAGACACGGUCCAGACUCCUACGGGAGGCAGCAGUGGGGAAUAUUGCACAAUGGGCGCAAGCCUGAUGCAGCCAUGCCGCGUGUAUGAAGAAGGCCUUCGGGUUGUAAAGUACUUUCAGCGGGGAGGAAGGUGUUGUGGUUAAUAACCGCAGCAAUUGACGUUACCCGCAGAAGAAGCACCGGCUAACUCCGUGCCAGCAGCCGCGGUAAUACGGAGGGUGCAAGCGUUAAUCGGAAUUACUGGGCGUAAAGCGCACGCAGGCGGUCUGUCAAGUCGGAUGUGAAAUCCCCGGGCUCAACCUGGGAACUGCAUUCGAAACUGGCAGGCUAGAGUCUUGUACGAGAGGGGGGUAGAAUUUCCAGGUGUAGCGGUGAAAUGCGUAGAGAUCUGGAGGAAAUACCGGGUGGCGAAGGCAGGCCCCUGGACAAAGACUGACGCUCAGGUGCGAAAGCGUGGGGAGACACAAACAGGAUUAGAUACCCUGG